CACACACACACACACAGAGGAGUGACUCCUGAGCAGCCCUCCUCAAGGUCAGCUGGCUCGGUUCAAACACGAUCCAAUUAUCUGCACAAACGAACGAGCUUGUUUCUGACUGUGAAUCAUUUAUAAUCUCAGAGACAUGGCAGUCUCACUUCUUCCAAAGUAAAAGCCACAUCUGAUUUAACACACAGCGCUGAUCCUUGUUGGAGAGAUUUUCUAAACAAAGUCUGAUUGAGAGGCCCUUUCCUCCUGAGUAUUAGGACUCACUUUACAGCAUAUCCUUUAAAAAAAGGCACUAAUCAGCACAUUAAAAAGCAGAUUAUACAACAGCUUCAAGCGUCAUGGGGUUUACUGAGAUCCAAUUUAAAUGUGUGGAGAGAAAAAACUUUAUUAAAGAGGCAGAAAAACAGCAAAACAAGCAGAGGCCCAAUGGAGACUCUGCGCAUCGGCUGUGUGAUGGGUGAUUAGCAGGUGAACGUAUGAAUCAUGUCCUUAAAUUAGCUCUUCUCACUAGAGCUGAAAACAGAAGCUGAAUGGUUCAAAUAAAGUGAUGAAGACCUUUUAGACUAAUAAAGGUCUUGAUGUUGCACCUGGUGACCUCUCUGUAAGGUCACUGAUGGGUAGAUUAAAGCAGGAUUAUCAGAUUGGGUCAGGUUGGUUGUCAGAGAUUUUUAGAACCAACAAUAACGGUCAGGAUUCAGGGUGAAGCUGGUCCUUAUUCGUAGUUUCUGCUCCAUUUCCUGCAGCCUUUGUGGAAAACAACCCCAGCAGCAUUUUACCACUGCUUCACUGUCCACUCUAUCGUUUGUUUAUCUUUCAUUUAGCAGGAAAUUAUAAUAAAGUUUCCUUUUCUAUACUUAACAUUGCUGCUGCCCUUUUUGCUUUUGAACUUUAGCUGUUUUUUGUGGCUAAGCUAGCACCUGCAAAAUUAUUUUACAAAUAAGGUUGAUGGUAAUAUCAUUUAAGGCACAUAAUGCAACUUUCUCAGAUUUUUAAAUCAUUUUCUUGAGCCAGUAUGUGCUAAAAUGACCUUUGCAGGGUUGAUUAAAUGACCUCAGACCCCACCUCCCACUUUGGCCAGAAUACUGCACUUGUAACUUCUGAGUAGCGGGCACCACCUGUAAAACACAUGUCCUGCACAUUUAGAUCAUGAACACAGCUGAUUUGUUUGAUGUAGUUAUGAAUAACUCCAGUAGACACUAAGGAAGGCUGGGUAAACAUUUCAGCUGUUAGAUUAAGGUGUUAAAAAACAUGAUGGCACAGUGAGGAGAUACAUUUCACUUUUGGUUUCACUAUCGGAACACUAGCGGUGCUAAAAGCAAGCCAAAACUGCUUAGUAUCCCUUUAAAGCACAAUAAUAGUUUCAUUUUAAAUCAUAUAUCAAAACCUAGUGUUUGCAGGUCGCAUUUACUGCAACAUAAACUUGAGUGAUAGUCAU